rnacentral:rRNA from 1 species
UACGUAGGGUGCAAGCGUUAAUCGGAAUUACUGGGCGUAAAGCGUGCGCAGGCGGUGAUGUAAGACAGUUGUGAAAUCCCCGGGCUCAACCUGGGAAUUGCAUCUGUGACUGCAUCGCUAGAGUACGGUAGAGGGGGAUGGAAUUCCGCGUGUAGCAGUGAAAUGCGUAGAUAUGCGGAGGACACCGAUGGCGAAGGCAAUCCCCUGGACCUGUACUGACGCUCAUGCACGAAGCGU